CCUACGGGGGGCAGCAGUCGAGAAUCAUUCACAAUGGGGGAAACCCUGAUGGUGCGACGCCGCGUGGGGGAAUGAAGGUCUUCGGAUUGUAAACUCCUGUCAUGUGGGAGCAAAGUAAAAAGAUAGCACCACAAGAGGAAGAGACGGCUAACUAUGUGCCAGCAGCCGCGGUAAUACAGAGGUCUCAAGUGUUGUUCGGAAGCACUGGGCGUAAAGCGUGCGUAGGCUGUGUCGUAAGUCUUGUGUGAAAGCCGCGGGCUCAACCCGCGGACGGCACAUGAUACUGCGAGGCUUGAGUGAUGGAGGGGGAACCGGAAUUCUGGGUGUAGCAGUGAAAUGCGUAGAUA
rnacentral:rRNA from 1 species